UGAGGAAUUUUGCGCAAUGGCCGCAAGGCUGACGCAGCAACGCCGCGUGGGUGAUGAAGGCCUUCGGGUCGUAAAGCCCUGUCAGGUGGGAAGAAAAGUUUCAAGGGGAAAGACUUGGGAUUUGACGGUACCACCAGAGGAAGCACCGGCUAACUCCGUGCCAGCAGCCGCGGUAAUACGGAGGGUGCGAGCGUUAUUCGGAAUUACUGGGCGUAAAGCGCGUGUAGGCGGGGAAGCAAGUCUGAUGUGAAAGCCCUGGGCUUAACCUGGGAAGUGCAUUGGAAACUGUUUUUCUUGAGUACUGGAGAGGAAGGGGGAAUUCCCGGUGUAGAGGUGAAAUUCGUAGAGAUCGGGAGGAAUACCAGUGGCGUAGGCGCCCUUCUGGACGGUAACUGACGCUGAGACGCGAAAGCGUGGGGAGCAAACAGG
rnacentral:rRNA from 1 species